rnacentral:tmRNA from 1 species
GGGUCCGUAAAGGUUUCGACGGGGAUUUUGAGGCAUGAUAAGCGUGGCGGGCUGAGUAAUCCCGAUAACUGCUCAAACUAAAAUUAAACGCUGACAGAAAAACUGUAGCUCUGGCCGCCUGAUAAAGGCGGUGCCGUGGCGAUAGAUCGCCACCCGUUCCCCGUGAGAGUAUCGCGGCUCGCGGCGAGCGUCACGUAAGCGGUGAACGUGCACCGGCCUUUCGUCCUUGAACCGGUCACGCAUCAAAGGGCUGCUCCAAACGCGAGCCUGUCUGCCGGCACGCGCGCGGAGGAGAACAAUAUAGACAGAAUGCCCACGGAGAAAGUCAUGUCAAGAGAUUUUCGGACAGGGGUUCGACUCCCCUCGGAUCCACCA